GACGAACGCUGGCGGCGUGCUUAACACAUGCAAGUCGAACGAUGAACUUGGAGCUUGCUCUGGGGGAUUAGUGGCGAACGGGUGAGUAACACGUGAGUAACCUGCCCUGGACUCUGGGAUAACUUCGAGAAAUCGGAGCUAAUACCGGAUAGGACCUUGCACCGCAUGGUGUGGGGUGGAAAGUUUUUCGGUUUGGGAUGGACUCGCGGCCUAUCAGCUUGUUGGUGAGGUAAUGGCUCACCAAGGCGUCGACGGGUAGCCGGCCUGAGAGGGUGACCGGCCACACUGGGACUGGGACACGGCCCAGGCUCCUACGGGAGGCAGCAGUGGGGAAUAUUGCACAAUGGGCGCAAGCCUGAUGCAGCAACGCCGCGUGCGGGAUGACGGCCUUCGGGUUGUAAACCGCUUUUAGUAGGGAAGAAGCCUUCGGGUGACGGUACCUGCAGAAAAAGGACCGGCUAACUACGUGCCAGCCGCCGCCGUAAGAC
rnacentral:rRNA from 1 species